rnacentral:tRNA from 1 species
GGUUGUGGCUCAGUGAUAGAGUGGUUGUCCUGCAUGCAUGAGGCACUGGGUUCGAUCCUCAGUACCA